AGUCGACGCCCCGCAGGGGAGUGGCAGACGGGUGAGUAACGCGUGGGAAUCUACCUAGUUCUACGGAACAACUGAGGGAAACUUCAGCUAAUACCGUAUACGCCCUACGGGGGAAAGAUUUAUCGGAAUUAGAUGAGCCCGCGUAAGAUUAGCUAGUUGGUGGGGUAAUGGCCUACCAAGGCGACGAUCUUUAGCUGGUCUGAGAGGAUGAUCAGCCACACUGGGACUGAGACACGGCCCAGACUCCUACGGGAGGCAGCAGUGGGGAAUAUUGGACAAUGGGCGCAAGCCUGAUCCAGCCAUGCCGCGUGAGUGAUGAAGGCCUUAGGGUUGUAAAGCUCUUUCAGUGGGGACGAUAAUGACGGUACCCACAGAAGAAGCCCCGGCUAACUUCGUGCCAGCAGCCGCAAUAAUACGAAGGGGGCUAGAGUUGAUCGGAUUUACUGGGCGUAAAGCGCACGUAGGCGGAUCGUUAAGUCGGGGGUGAAAUCCUGGAGCUCAACUCCAGAACUGCCUUCGAUACUGGCGAUCUUGAGUCCG
rnacentral:rRNA from 1 species